AGCGAAAGCGAAGCAGCCUUCCCUCCCAAACCACAAGACACAGUUUGAGCAGCCAUCUACCUUACACGGAAUCAAAACAAAAAGGAGAAACGCUUUCACGGGCUUGCGUCUCUCUCCUCUAUCCUCUCUGCUUGUGGUUACUGCGUUCAGCCGUCUCUGUCUUCCUCCUCCUUGUUAUUGUUCUCUCUUUCUCUCUAUCCAAGCACAUUCUUCGCCGUCAUCUCCUGUGCCACUAUUUCUUCCCUUUCCUUCCGAUCCACUCGUAGCACACACACACCGACACACCUGUACGCGCACACAUACGCUAACGCAAACACAGGAGCCAACCCGCACGGGUAUAUUGUUGCGGUGGCCGCACAGCAGUACAACAACAAAAAGGAAGGCCGCGCAAAACCAUCAACGGUGUGUCUGCGCCUGCGUUUUUCGCUCGCCCUCCCUCCCUCCCCCCCCCCUCCUUUACCGGGAAGAAUAUCUGAAGAGAAAGAAGCAACGCCCCCAGACGCAUCUGCAUAGCAAGGUCAGAAAUACACCAAUACACAACAAGAAAAAAAAAACAGCGAAACUGAAAAGGCUCACAAUACAGGAGCAGCAACGUACAGCGCCAAGGAAAAAAAGAGAAAGAAAGAUUCUGAGCACGCUUGUGGAGCACGAGAAGAGGUGGAAAGGGGAACAACAACAGAAAAAAAGGCACACCGAUAACGAAAUCAACUUUGGCGGGAAAAAAAAAAAGAAAGAGCGAAAGAGAACACUCUUACACAAAAAUCAGCUUUCUAUAUUCAAAAAAAAAUCGUUGGUGUUAUGUGUGUGUGUCUGUGUGUGUGCGUGGGUGCGUGUCUCUAAGCUCCUUUCUUUUUUUCGCUUGGUCUCUCCUCUUGUCCCUAUGACAUGUUCUUUGUUUUUUGUUGUUUUUCUUUUCUCACACUCUCUCACUCCUUUUUUUCACUGUCUUUGACACCCAAAAAAAAAAUCUUUCACGACCUCUCUCUUGCGACAUAUUCCGUAUCUCUCCCUCCCUCCCUCCCUCCCUCCCUCCUCUGCCUCCGCUGUGUGUGUGUGUGUGCGCGUGUGCGUGUGUGUUUUUGUGUGUGGUGCUCUUGCUCUCUUUUCUUUCUUCUUUUCUCCUUUAUCGGGUGUGUGUGUGUGUGACUUACCUGCACUACUCUGGUCCUAUUCCGAUAAGCCUUUGAUUUUUUUUUCGUUUUCACUGUCCUCCGCUUCCUCCUUGUUUUUCCCCUGCUCCCUUUUUUCCCCGCCUCGAUUUUUAGACGAAAAAAAAGUCGCAUAUCUGUCUCUCCCUCUCCGCAUUUUCUCCCCUCCCCUCCCCCUCUUCUCCUCCUCUGUGUCUUUGUGUGAUUUCUUUUUGUUGUUGUUGCCCUUUUCGUUUCUUUUUUUCAUUGUGGUCGUGGUGAUUCUUUUCGUCUCUUGAAUUCCGUUGUUGUUUGCUUUCUCCCUUGGCAUUGUUUUAGGGCUUUUUUCUGUUUUUGUUUUGUUUUGUUUUCAGGCUCCCCUCCCCCCUCCCUUUUCGUUUUACACUGCCGUUGCUGUUGCUGCUGUUUUUUUUUCCUUUUCCUGUUUUGCUGUGUGUGGGGUGGGGUUCUGUUGAUUGAUUGGUUCUAUUCAAGAGUGAAGUUGUAUAGUUUUUUUUGUUGUUUUGUUUUUGCUCCCCUCCCCUAUUUGUCGGCUUUUUUUUUGCCCCCCUGCCCUCCCUCCCUCCUCCUCCACCACCCUCUGUGGUAUCGUUGCGUGUGGGUGCGUGUGGACCCUUUCGUGUUGUUGUUUCAUCUCGCUUCUUUAGCGGCAUUUGUGUGUGUGUGUGUGUGUGUGGCUUCCCUCUUCUUGGUUUCCUCCUUGUCGUCGUCGUUUGCAUUGCCCUCUCCCUCGUGCCCCCCCCCUCUCUCUCUCUCUUGUGUCGCUCCUUUUCCAUUUUUGGUCGUCUGCCACCUACUCACUCACCAAAGGACGGACUGUUCGACACCACUCCUCAUCUGCCUCCCCCUCUCUGCUUUUCCUCACGCAUUUUCUGCGUUGUCUGCUCCUCUUGCGUGCGGGUUCGUAUCGUUGUCGUCGGGCCUUUUUUUGCCCCUUUUCUCACGUUUUGGGAGGUUCGUUUUUCUUCUCUCUUCUUCAGCUUUUCUCUUCGGGCGCACGGAGGCAAGGGGCAGAAGAGGCCGACAGCAAAAACAAGAAAAAAAAACAAAGGCGUCAUAACAGAACACAAGGCAAACUCCAGCGCGCAUCUACGGGCACAAGAGUACCAACCGUCGUAGCACAAGCCAACGAGAGCACACGUGCACCGAAGCGAAGGCCGGUGUGUCUGUGUGUGUGUGUGUGUGUGUGUGCCUGCACAGCAAGAGAAAGCAGCGUUUGAAGGUGUACCACGUGGCGUUACGGAAAAGAUAUCGCCACUCCGCUAAUAGCGCGUGUCGAGUGAUUCUAUUCUCUCCCUCCCUCUCCCUCCCUCCCUCCCGGGUCAUAUCCACUGGCCUCGCUCACUAUCUCUGCGGACUGUGAUAGUGCGCCCUUGGUUUUUUUCCUUUUUUUCUGUUUUGUCUUUCGGCUCUUCUUUUCUUUCAUCCCUCUUCCUCCUCUCCUUUUUUUGUUUUUUUUUUUGUUUGUUGUUGAACAGCGCGCGCGCUUGACGACCUCGCAGUACAACACCACACCAAUCCGCGUCAUCACCCAUUCAUUGAACAAGGGCAACUAAAAAAAAAGGUUCAACGAUAGGGUCGAUCUGGACUGUGAUACACAAGAACAGCAGCAACAACACGCGCAUGAGAUAGGCGUCUUUUUGUUUUUGGUCUUCUGCUCUUCUUGUCCCUUCGUGUGUGUGUGUGUGUGUAUUCUCCUUUACUAGAAUAGUUCUCCUGAUCAUUUUGCUCAGCGUUCAGCUUCCGCCUGUCAGACACGUGAUUGCUUGUCUGUGUGUCGGUGUGUGUCCGUCUGUGUCUGUAGCUGCCCUCUCUUGCAAACCGUGUGCGGCGAAGCGCGUGCGCAUACAGGCCUCCGUGAAGUAUUGAUAAGGAGGGCAAGAGAAGCAACUGCAAGGGAUAAAAAAGAAAAGCGUACUUGGCCUUCCGGGUGGGGUGUCUCUCCUUUGGUGUUCUCUUUUCCGGUAAGUAAUCGUGUUAACACGUGCACGCUUCCUUUUUUGUUUGUUUUUUGUGUGUGUGUGUGUGUGUGUGUGUGUGUGAGCGCCGCUUCCGCUUUCUCUGCCUCCCUCUGCGUCUUUUUCAGAGCGUGCAACGCCACCGACGCCCCUCCAUUCAUCGUUCACUCUAGCAUCAGCCAUGGGCGCAGUUCCGUCACGCGAGUGCACCUCGCUAUUCUCGUACUUCCGCGGGAGCUACGAGGUGGGUAUGGUGCCGCUGACCAAGUACUACUUUGGUAAGGACACAGACGCCGCCACCGCCCCAGUGGAUGUCGAUGCUAGCGUUCACAUUGCGCCUCUGCAGCGUGCAGCCACCGCUGGUCGUAAGCCGCAGCAGCAGCCAUCAUCGCUUCUGUCGCACGCAGGCUCGCGCAGCCACAUGCGCCAACAGCUGCGGCAACAGCUUUUACUCAUGCGACGCGAUCCUGCGGUCCUGUACGCCAACGCCCGUGACGCGCAAAACAUUCUGCAGAGCCUGUCGCACCACGAGAACAGCGCCCAACAUAGGAGGAGCAGCAGCAGCAACGAAGCGCGCGCCGCUUCGGCAGAGACGACCAGCCUGUCGCCCGCGGCGCUUGUUGGAAAGGAGGUUUCGACAUCAGCAGCAGCAGCUGGUGUGGCAGCCGCCGCGGACCACAGCGUCAACGAGAACAGCGGUGCCGCAACGCCGGAGGAGAACAGCCGCACCGACAGCCUCACGGGCGCCUCGGACAGCGAGCGAAGUGACUCAAACCUCCCGGUGCACCAACAAGACGGCAGCAGCGCAACCGAUCCUUGUGUGGCAGAGCGCCUGCUCAGUAACUACUGGAGUAUCAUGCCGGACAGCAACUUCACCGAGGCGGACCUGGACCGCUUCCUCGACCUCGUAGACGCGACGCUCUUCGAUACGAACGACGAGCUGCUCUCUGUUGACCCUGUCCUCCCCGGCACAGCCGCGGCGCCAGGCACGUCCAGUGGGAAGCCUUUUAUGCCUGUACCGUGUGCUCUCUGCCUCGCCUACCCGGACGGCAAGGAGCGUGAGGGCGCCCUUGCGUUGGACGGGCGCGUGAUCAACAUCAUUGGCUACUUUGGGCUCAUGACACGUGAGAUGCAGGACGCCUUCAAGGUUGUGAAGCGGUUUCCAAACGAGCUGGAGAAGCAGCGGCAGCACGCCGAAGAGGCUGACAGCGCCUCAGGGCCGAUCAUGUUUCUCAACACGGCCAUCCUCACAUCCGCCGGUGACCGCACCCUCGAGCGCGUGCUCGUGCUUGCGGCAGUGAUGCUUCGGCAGCAGUUUCACACGAUUGGGCGUCGCCAUGUGCUGCAGGCGAAACUGAACCAGCUUCUGCACGAGCAGAGUGAGCGCAAGCACAACGUCGACCCGCAGAUGGUGCGCUACCUGCAAACACUGCUGGCACUCCCACCGAGGGUGGAGCAGCAGCAGCCGUUCUUCGAUCCUCUGCUGGAGAUCCCGCUGCCCAGCAUACCAUCCGGCAUUUACACGCCUACCCAGUACGUCAACGCCGCCUCCAAUGAAGCGUCGCAGCGCCCACAUGCCUCAUCCCUUAGCAGCUGCGGUCGACCUGCACUUAGCAGCUUCCCCGGGGACGGAAAGUUUCAGAACGCCACGAUGGGGCUCUGCGCUGGGGUCGCUGGGGAAUCAUCGCCGCCUCAUAUGCGGUCGUUGCCGCACGAUCGACCCUCAUCGAUGGGCGGCGUGCCUGCAGGCGGUGUGCUAGGCGUUGCCCUCAACGCUUCAGGGCCGAGGUUGGGGUCAGAGGGCACGUGCCCACCGCUAAUGGACAGCUCUGGCGGAUCGCUUGGCGCUAAUGCAGCGAUGACAUCCCCGCCCGUCUUAGGCCCGCUUCCACUUAGCCAGUCGGACGAAGACGCCAUCACGCUUGCUCUGUGUCGUCGCAUGCAGCGAGGCCGCGUGGUCAUCGAAACAGCAAGCAACAACUACUCAGCCUUGAAAUCGCUGACGGAGAACUUUGCGUUCCUGUGUUGCCAAAUUCUGCUUGACCAGAGCCUCAUCACGAUGGAGCUGAUCGAGCUGCCGGCGCUGGUGGAGACGCCUUCCUUCAAGCCCGCGGAGUUCGCCAAGACGGUGGCAACGACGCUCGGCUCCACCGCUGGUGAGGAGGCGCGGCCCAGCAAGGGCAUUCUCCAGCCCGCGGCGGACGACGAGAAGCCGUUGAGCACGGCGCAACCCUCACAACCCCGGCUCCCGCCGUCCUCUGCCGUGCUUAUCAAGCUCGAUCCGCAGCAUGUGUGCCAGGCAACCAUGUGGGCUAGCUCCUUCUUUCACUGCCCGACGCUGCUCCCCAGCGGUGGCUGGGUCAAGUACAAGCUCAAGGACGAAUGUGAGCAGCUGCGACACGUGCUGCAGAACAAAGACAUGCUCAUUGCCCACUGGCGAAAAACGGACGUCGACCAGGCCGGUCAAUACCUCGGCAAGCACACGGCGCGGCUUCUCGAGCAUGUGCAUGCCUUACAGGCGGAGACAGAAGAAGCGCGCGCGCUGUCAGCAGAGUACUGGAUGCAGCGGCCCUUGUACGUCAACCAGGAUGGACGCAAGUAUGGCCUGUAUCAGAGCCGCUACGGCACCAUGCUGAUCGGUGUGCGCGCCUUCACGGCGGGCAGCGGGUCAUCGGCGGCGGCGGCCAACGCAAAGGAAGAGCGCUUCGGCAGCACCAAGGCUGCAGUAGGCAACAACACGACAUCGUUCUCCGGUGACAGCACGUCCCUGGAGGCGCACGCGGGACAGGCCAGCGCCAUCUCCGGCAACCUGCACAGCGCCAACAGCGGCAGCGGAAGCGGGCUCGCGAUCGCCCCGCGUGGAGCGGCGCCGCGGUCGGGGAGCGUGAAUGGGAGUCGUACGGGCCACCAUAGCGUUUUCAGCUCCAACGACGGGGGCAUGAGCCCCCAAAGCAUGAGCAACAACAGCAACAUCAGCGAACGGUACGGCCGCGGAGUUGGUGGCGACAUGGCUGGCGGCGGCGCGGGCUAUUCGAAUAACGGGCCCUACAUAAAUUACCCGCCUCACACCGCAAACGGCAACAGCGGCAACGGCGCGUACGCAUCGGCGCCCUUCAUGCGACCGCAGGUAUACAUGAGCAGCAACAACAGCGGCAGACCCAGUGAAGCGGUGCCAUACUGCGGCUCUCCUUCUGUCCCUGGCUACCUCAUGGAGAUGGCGAGCGGAUACAACACGCUGCCGCCACAGCAGCCGCAGCAGCGUGUCAACAUCCUGAGCGUGAUCCCCGACCCCCACAAGUGCAAGUCUGCCCACAGCAGCGGUCAUUCACGCGUUGGAAGCAGCCUGGCGCACGGCAUAGCGGGCUGGCAGGCAAUGCAGCCUAGCAACGCACAGAUGCCGCCGCCUCCUGCGUCAAGUCACAUGAACUGCGCACCGCCUGGCCAGCAGCAGGGCGAGGUCAUGGGAAGCCCGUCAGGCUUCGCGUACGCGGCAGCGUCAUCGUCGAUGUCGUAUAAGCCGGCGCCGCCCGCCUAUCACGCCGCUUCCCACAAUAUCAACCCCUCUGCUACAGGUACGUGCGCCCGAGUCUCAUCCCCACAGUCGCCGCCGAUGUCAGGCAAGCAGGUGAACAGCUCGUCGCUCAGGGCCGACGUGGCCGCAUCACCGCAGCUGCGCCUUCAAAACGCCAGCAACAGCGACGCUCAGCACGGUCUGACCAUGGACGCCGCCAAAAACGCAGCAGCCAGUCGGCCGCUGCCAGACGUAAAGGCGCCUUGGGCGAACGACAAGAAUGGCGAGGUGCCGCGCUCGUCGGCGCCGGCGAAAUCCGCGGCGUCCAGCACCCCACACGGCAACAGCGCGGCGGCAACGCACGCAGCCGCUGCGCCGUUCCCUCACGGUUGCGUUGGCAUGAAUUGUGACGACGUCGGCGCCGCCGGUGACUAUCUCGCGGCCAGCCAGUGCAACGCAUCGGCGACGCAGCAGGCGACCCGAAGCAGCAGCGAGCCACACGUCACCAAGGCUGCGGAUGAGGGUAAAACUGCCAACCAGGCGACAGCGCCGAAGGCGGCUGUGCUACGGAGCGUGAUGCCGUGGUCGCUGCAGGGCGGAACAGUGUGGGAGAGCGAUGAUGACGCGACGGACGACACAACGCAGUUUCUGCUGCGCAGCACAGAGCUGCUGGACGUCGAUGAUGACAACGCGAAGAAGGAGCCUGCUGGCGGUAAUCGCAACAACGCCGCUAGCGAUGAUGAAGAGCUGGGCGUCCGCCGUGUUACUCGACUGAUGGCAGGCCGAGACAUGUUUGUAACCAGCGCGGCCCAUCAGCUACCACCGUCCGCGCCGGCGAAGAGCCUAGAUAUGUCAAUCAUGAACAUGCUACUGACUGCUGCCCCGCAGUCGCAGCCGAGCGACGCCGCGAUGUCGUCUACUGCCGCCGCGCGGCAGCUGACCUUCCCUACUAUCGCAGAGCCGCCCAAGCCCGUUCCAGCGCCGUCCUUUCAACCCGGCGGUGUCUUUCCCGUUUAUGUCCUUCAGUUACCAGCGCACGCACCGCAGCAGCAGCAGCAGCAGCAGCAACCCCAGCCUCAGCCGCAGCUAACCACUACCUCGCCGUUGCCAGCAGCGGCACCGCCAUCGGACAAGUCACUCUACUACACCAUGGCCAGCGGCGUACCCCUCCUUGUGCAGCCAGCGACGACGCCUGGCGGGUUGGCGAUCGCCUACCCGAAUAGUCAACCGUUCCCGCAAGGCGGCGGUAGUUUCAUGCCGUACCCGGCUAUGCCUCAGCCUCCACCGCCACAGCAGCCGCAGCAGCAGUCGAUAACCAUGAUGCAACACGGUCAAGCUAUGAUGAGCGCGCCUGGCCUCGAUGGGCGGUCAGUGGCACGGUUCUCGGUGCAGCCUGAUGCCAGCUGGGGCAGUCAGUACCGCUUUUUUUCCAACAGCCCUAGCAACCUUGCAGGUGCCUUCGCGAACAGUCGCACACCGGCGUACAGCAAUAACAACGGCAACAACCCGUUCCAGACUGGUAACGACUUCUCUUAGCACUGCAGAGGCGAAGUGCCCAGUGCUGGGCUCUCUGAUUCGCUGCCCCCGCUCGUCCCCGUACGGCUGCCAACGAGAAGCGGCCACUUCUCCACCUCCCCUUCUUUCUCUCUCGCCACGAGGGCGCAUCUUUUAUUUUGUGCAUGUGUGCGGUGUGAGGGACAUGAUCUUGUCGGUCUGUUUGUGUCGAUCUCUUUUUGUCGAUUUUGUUGUUGUGCUGCGCGCGCGUGCGUGCGUGUGUGGGGGGGGGCCGCUUUUCUGCUUCCCUUCUUCCAGUCUACGCUCUGCGCUCUUUUACAGGAUUCGCUUUACCAAUUCAAGCGCCCUUCCCCUAACCCUCUCCCUCCCGCUGUCGCAAAAACGCGCAGGUGCGGUUGAUGAGACAUGCAUGCGCACAAGAAAGUGAAGAAGAGCCGAAUGAUGAAAAGAGGAAACUGGAGUGGAACAGGGAGGAACGGAAAGGGGGAAAGGGGGCGAGCCCCGUAGACGGAGCUGAACCUCCAUCUCUCUUUCUCUCUGUCUUCCGCUUGCGUGUUCACAGUGUUCUUCGCUCCUCGUCUCGUUGUGCGCACCUGCACCCCUUCUUCUUCUGCUUUUUUUUUCCUUCCGUCUCUCUCUCUCUAUAUAUAUAUCGACGCCUUCCAAUGAAUAAAACGCAAACGCUUCUUCUCUGUUGUUGUUUUCGUUGCUUUCUCCCUAACGUUGGCCAUCCUUUUAUGUUUCCUCUUUCCGUGUUUGCUGUAUCUCACUCUCACUCUCUCACUUCGUUGCAACUUUUAUUAGGAUUACGUCGUUUCGCUGCUCCUGCUCUUCUUCCUUCCACGAUUGGGUGUCCUUUGUUGUUGUUGUUUUCGUCGUUUUCUGUGCGUGUGUGUGUGUGUGUGUGUGUGGUGGGGUCUACACACGUAUGUACACGUGUGUGUGUGUGUGUGUGUCUGUGGCCCUUUCUAUAUAUGACAAUAUAUUCGUUUAUUUUCUUUUUGCUGUGGCCCGCACGCAGCUGCUGCGUGGUUGCAGACCUCAGUUGCACAUCCGUUUUGGGAGAGGGGGAGGGCUUGUAUGCUCUCCCUCUCCAUCCCUCUCUCUUUGCCUUCUCUUCAUUGCACGAUCAAAAUGUUUUACCUCCUUUUUUCCCCCUUUUCCGAACCUGAUAUUGUCCCUGUUGUCUUCCUCCUCCUUUCACCACCUGCCUUCACGCCACCACCCACACCCCACCCUCUUCGACUGUCUGACUGGUUGUGUGUACGCGCGGGUGUGUGUGUGUGUGUGGCAGGGUGGGACUGUCUCGGGUGGUAGUGGAUGUCGCUACCUGAUCCUCUGCGUCAGCGCCGUUAUCGUCGAUGAUGGCGCUAAUCGUAUAACUUGCCUGUUUCUCUCUUCCCUUUCGCUCUUUUCUUUUUUUCGUUCCCCUUCAUCUCCGCACUGUUCAACACAUCUAUAUCCACAUAUAGAGAGAGGUAGAGGGAGAUAUAGCCGCCUAUAUAUAUAUAUAUAUAAAUAUUUUCACGAGUGUGUGUGUGUAUGUGUGCUCGCUUGUGAGGGCUGGUCUUCUCGAUGUCGAGCUGUGGAAAUAGCAGCAGAGUAUAAAUUAAAAAAAAUCGACGACAGCCUUGAACCUCCUUUUUUUUUCGGACACCGAAGCCUGCACACUUGUCUAAUCAUUAUCAUGAACAUCAUCAUCCUUCUCUCUUCGUCACGCACCCGCUCCUUUGUUCUUCUUUCUCCCUCUCUGGUCGUUGUGUGUGUGUGUGUACUCAUCUGUGAGCUUUUCUUUUUUUUUUUGGGGGGGGGGGUGUUUGUGUGUUUUGCUCUCCUCUUUCUUGUUUUUGUUUCUUGCGUUGGAUUUGCCUGCCUUCUUUCUCUGCCUGCGCGCCUCUUCUUUUGUUUUCCCUCGUCUUGUGUGUGCACGUUCUUUGCAAGGUUUUGUUGCUCCGUUUUUUUUUUUUGCGGAGGGAGGAGGAGGAGGAGGAGGUUGUGACGGCGGGUGUCUUUUUCGUUGACCGCCGUUUGGGUGUUUGUUCUUGUCUUCUUUUCUGCUUCUUUCGGGGUACUUAAGUAACCCGUACGAGGCACUGAAAGGUGUGUGUAUGCGUAUGUACGGAAAGAUAUAUAUAUAUAGAUGUGUGUCUAUGUCUGUCUGUCGGUGUGUGUUUUGCUUGUCGACACGGUAAUAACUACCCAGAAAUAUAUACUAGGAGUGCAGCCAGCACACAGGAACACAGACAGACACAGACACAAGCAGAAACUAUAACAACAAAAAAAAAGAAAACGGUCACCAUCAUCUUCGAACGGUAACACGCACACGCACCAAAUAUAGAUAAACAUGCACCAAUACUCAUUAUCAUCGACACUAUUUAUUAUUAUUAUCCCCCUACCCCUCUCCUUCUUUCAUUUCUCCCACUUCCUCGGGUGGGUAUCAGGGUUCUUCUUGUUCUUUUUUGGGGGUUGUCUUUGUGUCCUUUGCAUGCCGCCAUUUCCCUGUCUUGUCUCGCUAUCGCCCCCCUCCCCCUCCCUCCCCCCUUCCUUCCUCCCGCCCGCCCGCCCGCCUUUUCCGUGUGGGUGUCGGUGCGUGGGCGUUCCGAUGCUUUCCCUAUUGUUGUUGCUCUGGUCUCUCUCCCUCCCUUCACCUCAUAUACAUCUCGGAUGAUGCGGGGACCACCUCAGUGCUGAACCACAGGCCCCAGUAUUUCACCCUGCGUGUGUGGGGAAGCCAAGCAGCCGGCAGCAUGCCCUCCGGGUCUUUUUGCGGACUCUUGGCAUCAGCGGAGAACUCUGGACUGGCGCAUUACCGAAGAGAGUUGCAGCCACGAUCACGCUUGAACCAGCUCGCUAUGAUUUGCGUCGAGGAUUCAGCAAGUAUGCGCAUCCACCACCUGUUUUCUCUGCCUUUGCCGCGUUGCAGUGAUGUUGAGCAUGAUCCAUGGGUCUGGCCUGCGCUGUACGCGGUGGCAUUACGGUGGGCUGAACGACACCAGACAGUGCUAGUUGGCCCAGCUCCUUGGCGAACCUCCGAUGCAGGUCUGUAUUCGGCAAGAGAGGUGCAUUUCUCACCCCGACAGGCCUUUGGGGCGCAGUGGGCCUCGCGGGCAUUCAACGCUCCGGUGUCGCGGGAGAGAAGGGCGACGGUGGUGUCUCCGAGCACAUAAAACAGGACAUAUGGUCAGAUGUACGCCCUCACUUUCUUCUAAACGACAACGGCGCAG
rnacentral:misc_RNA from 1 species